UACAGAGGGGGCAAGCGUUGUUCGGAAUUACUGGGCGUAAAGGGCGCGUAGGCGGCCUGCUAAGUCGAACGUGAAAUCCCUGGGCUCAACCCAGGAACUGCGUCCGAUACUGGUUGGCUUGAAUCCGGGAGAGGGACGUGGAAUUCCAGGUGUAGCGGUGAAAUGCGUAGAUAUCUGGAGGAACACCGGUGGCGAAGGCGGGUCUCUGGGCCGUAACUGACGCUGAGGAGCGAAAGCGUGGGGAGCGAACAGG
rnacentral:rRNA from 1 species